UAAGACGGAGUCUCACUCUGUCACCCAGUCUGAAGUGCAGUGGUGUGAUCUCGGCUCACUGCAACCUCCGCCUCCCAGGUUCAGGCUAUUCUCUUGCCUCAGCCUCCCUAGCAGCUGGGACUACCGGUAUGCGCCACCACGCCCAGCUAAUUUUUGUAUUUUGAGUAGAGUCAGGGUUUCACUAUGUUGACCAGGCUGGUCUUGAACUCCUGACCUCAAGGAUCCACCCACCUUGGCCUCCCAAAGUGCUGGGAUUACAGGUAUGAGCCACCACACCUGGUCUCUUCUGGUUUAAAAAAGCAAAACAAACAAAACCUAAAAGCAGAUUUAAAUCCUCUAAUCCUGAAAAAGUCACCCCAUACCAAUUUAACUGUAAGAAAGUUUCCCUUUGCGAAGAAAGUAUCCCAUCUGAGACUCAGAGUGGCCAGCCCAGAUAAUGCUAAGACCCUUUAUGGCUCCAAAUCCUCCCAUUCAAAGACCAGAUGAGAGUGGAAGAUAGGAGAGGGAGAAUAAUGGAAUAAUUCAAACCAAUGUGGAUUUUAAAUUUGUUUCGAGGAUUUAUUUAAGGGUGUUUUCUCCUCCUCUAUGUUUUUCUAGAUGAUUACUAUCUUCAAGGAAAAUGUGAUUGCAUCCUCCAGAUCAAAGAUACUGAAACUGGAUGCUUAUAAAGAAGAUUUUAGGCACAUAAAGGUUAUGGCAUCUGUGGUUCUACAAUGAAAAAUGCAACCUGUUCUGUCUGAGAAGGAAAGGGAGCAAGAAUCUCCCGUGCAAGUCUGGCGUUCAGUUCUAGCAGAGGGAGUCACCAGCUGGAGAAGAAAUGCAACAAUUGUCCACCCCCACAUAUCCUAUGGCUGUGUCUUUUUUUUAUUACAGUGGACACUGCAGUGAGGGACACCCACUCUCAUGGUGGAAAACGAGCCAGCUAAUUUAAUAUCACCAUGAAGGAAACUGCUACUAAUCUAGGCAUGGAAGUAAAUCAACAGUGGAUCCUGAAAGCUAGGAAAAGAGAGCUAAGUUAAGCAAGAAUGGCCAAGGCAGCGGGAACAGUGUAUGUUUUAAACUUCAGGUUUUGUUAGCAAGACUUUUGUCCUCUUUUAAUAGUUAACCUGACCCCAGCUCAAGAAUCCAAGAUACUGAGUAGUCUAUUGUGCACCUGCAGAAAACUUUCAAACCCUUAAUGACUUAUAAUCUUGGUUUCAGCAAUCAUCUCAGUAAUUCUGGUAUGACUCUCCUCCCUCACAGCUCUCAGAUGCUCCAGACCCACCUACAGCUCAUCUCCAGCAGGAGAUCUUGGGUUUUACGAUUUUAAAACGUAGCUUGAAAAAGUCUCCAUCUUAUCUCGGAGCAGAAGUGGUGUCACUUGCCAGCCCAAAUAUUCUAGUAAGUUUCUCCCUCACUCAGCUGCCACCACUCUUUUGUGCAGCCCAGCCAGGCUCCCUCACAUAUGCAUGGAGCAGAGCCUCGGGGUGGCAACCCAAACUGAGUGUUCAGAUCCAUCAGCAGGAACCAGCUGAGAGACUAGCAGCUUGCCCCCAGGAAUGAUAGCAACCAGCCUUCUCCUGGUAUGCCCUGGUUCUUGGGCCAAACAUGGACCUGUCCCUGCAGACACUGUGUGGUCCUCGCUGACUCCAAAUUCUCCUAAAUGCAGCCUCCGUGGAGCCUGUGAUACGGCACAUGAGCCUGGGAGUAAGAGGGAGGCUUCGCCCGGUGUAACCUCAGAGCACGUGUCGUUUAUUUUUAGGCCUGGAGUAAAGGGCCUGGGUAAGGGAGGAACUUCAAAAGGUGAGAUUUCUGUCAUUGGAAUAGUUUUACAAUGUAAUGAAAACAAAGAGAUGGCUCUUAGAGGGUGUGGGUGGAAGCAAAGCCAAGUUCUAGCCCUGCAGUGGCUCUCC
rnacentral:lncRNA from 1 species